CAGGAAUGUUCCAGGACACCUGCCCAGGCCUGAGGGCAUUAAAACACCCACUCCUCCCCCUUCCUUACUUCCUCUUUCUUUACUUCCUCCUUUCUCUUUAAAAACUCCUUGCUUAAGUUCAAUAAACAGACCUUGACAAUCCAUUGCUUGGUCUCACUCUUUCUCACCCAUUUAUUUUCAGGCUUAGUCCCCCACUCAACCCACGAAUUACCAGAACCCCACGAAUUACCAGAACCCCACGGGCCCGGGCAGAUGGCACGAAACAUAGGGGCCCAAGGUAUGGACUCUUCGCCAAACGGAGACCUCCCCAAGGAAACCCUCGGCAGUGAACGCUGACAAGGAAGUCCUCCUGCUCGCCCAUUGCAAUGGACGUUGGUCUGAGAACAUUCUCACCUCUCAUUAGCAACUGAUUCCCUGAUAAAAGAUGCUGUCUUUUUGGCUACUUGUGUAUUUCUCCCUUCGAUUGCCGUUGCUGCUGCAAGCCCCUAUCAGAUCUACAACUACACCUGGAUGAUCAUCAACCAAGCUGGUGAUGUUGCCAAUGCCUCGACAUACAUUGGAACUCAGCCCUCUUAUUCCCCUCUGAUAGUAGAUCUUUGUGCCUUGGCUAUGGGAGCCAACCCUCUCUGGGGAACUCCCUCCCAUUUUAUGCCACAAGAGAACAAGCACAAUCAUGGUACAAAAAUUGGUUUUCCACCUCUCCAUGGCUCUCCACGUUGUUACCUUCCAUCCUUGGUCCUAUGGUUGGGCUUCUCUUAUUAAUUUCCUUCGGGCCUUGGGCUUUUCAAAGAUUAACCAGAUUCAUUAAGUUUCAGAUUGAUACCAUCCUUGGAAAAGCAAUUUCAUUAUCAUCAACUGGAGGUACGAGAUCCUGAGCUGCCUGACCAUAAUGAAAACCACGACAAUCCUCCUAAAGGCCUAGUUUUUUUUGGGCCUUGAACAUCGAACCUCUUGAUUUCCCUGGCCUUGGAGAUGUCAAUGACAGGAUUAUCGUGAUGCCACAGGCCAGACGCCAAUCCAUCUCACCAGCUGUAGUGCUCCUCAAUGACAGGAUUAUCGUGAGGCCUCGACCCCAGAGGCCCACUCUGAGCACUCUUGAGCUGCUUGCCUUAUGAAAGGUCCCCUGAGUGCUGGGGGGCGGAUUCACCUCUCGUAGCCUAAGACAGAGGCUCUACCCCUCACAGUCAUAUAAAUGACAAUAUCAUAAACAUAGGGUACUGGCUGCGGAUGCCCAUCAUGUAGCCUAAGACAGACGCUCCAUUCUAUUAUACAUAGAAAGGGGAGAUGUCAGGAGCCAGCCUUGGUCAGAUAUAAAAGUCUCCUUUACAAGAGGCUUGGCGACCUCCAUGCUAAACCGACAAUUUAGUCAAGCACCCCACCCCUUAGGUUAUUGUUCCGAGAUAAACCACAGAAAUGUUCCAGGACACCUGCCCAGGCCUGAGGGCAUUAAAACACCCACUCCUCCCCCUUCCUUACUUCCUCUUUCUUUACUUCCUCCUUUCUCUUUAAAAACUCCUUGCUUAAGUUCAAUAAACAGACCUUGACAAUCCA
rnacentral:lncRNA from 1 species